UAACGUAACAUAGUUGUGGAUUGAUAAAAAAGCAGUUUAGAUCAAUAUUAGAGCCGAUAAAAUUAUUAACAAGAUGUAUGAAUGUGGAUUUUAACGAAAGAGAGGUGCGUCAACCGGAAGUCAGUUAUUGUGAUUUAACAGCUGAUUUGACCGUUUAAUCACCGCGCUCAGCAGCUGCAGCGGAUCUGACUCACCGCACGUGGAGGCAACGAAGCCAGUGGGACAGACUGUCUCCAGGAGGACGCUGCAUUUGAAGGACAGCUGUUAUUCUGAGUGUAAAGUUACCUGUGGUUUCUCUGGCUGCUGAUUGGUCGGUUGGCUUUGGGGGCAGGGCUUUGGGACUGGAGGAGGCG